rnacentral:rRNA from 1 species
GCGCAGCAGGCGAGAAACUUCACACUGUGCGAAAGCACGAUGAGGGAAUCCCAAGUGCUUGCACGUAAGUGUAAGCUGUUUCUCUGUCUAAAACGCAGAGAGAGUAAGGGCUGGGUAAGACGGGUGCCAGCCGCCGCGGUAAUACCUGCAGCUCAAGUGGUGACCGUUAUUAUUGGGCCUAAAACGUCCGUAGCCGGUUUAAUAAAUGCCUGGGGUAAAUUGUGUAGCUUAACUAUACGAAUUCCGGGUAGACUGUUAAACUUGAGACCGGGAGAAGUUAGAGGUACUCCUGGGGUAGAGGUGAAAUUCUGUAAUCCUAGGGGGACCACCAGUGGCGAAGGCGUCUAACUAGAACGGGUCUGACGGUGAGGGACGAAGCCCUGGGGCG